rnacentral:lncRNA from 1 species
GGAACUCGUCACAUCUCCUAGCUGCUAUCCUAAAAACGCAGCCAGAAAUCAUAAGCUGCAUGUCACCUCAGCCCAGAAAUUGUCACACCACUUUGUAUUUACUUUUUAAGAGAGGAACCUCAGGCAUCUCAGAUGUGGUACCCUCCAUACUGACAAUAAAUCAGUCAUUCUCUGUUAAAGGCACUGCUUUGUAUCAAAGAAAUUGCUAACAAUAUCAACUCCUUAGCUUUUAUUCCUUUGUUUUUCUCUCUUUUUUAGUUCUAAUCGCCAGUCUAAAGUCUCUGCCUGGAUUCCCUGCUCCAACCUGGCUGGAAAUUUCAGGUGCUGCUGAAACCACCCAGUUGUUUGUCCCAGUGAAUACAGGGCAUGUUCCUGGGACUACUGCAAAGAGCAAAACAGGGCAACGCUGUGGGCACACGGAGGAAGAAAAAUCCUGGAAAAAAUUAUGGCAACGAUCAAAUCCUCUGGUACUCAUUAAAAGGCAUAUCAAGUUCAAAAGAAAAUGUUGCCUCUCACUAAUGAGAAGAUUAAUCGCAUUCGCAUAUGCAGCAGACUUUGUCAAUUUUGUUGAAAGUUUGAUGACCUUUAAGAGACAAAGUUUUAGUGUGCCCAAAAUAAAUAAUUCAUCCUUCACAGAUUUGCCCUCUGUAUCCAUCUGCUU